UGGUGACUGAAGCAUUUAUUACUACAUUCUGAAAAAAGGAAUACUACUAUCCACAGACUCAUUGAGGACACCCAUGCUUCACCUGACAAGAGAAAUGCAAAUUUAAAGGAGUUCAACAAAGCGACUGCUGUUGGAAACCCUAACAAAACUGGACCUUCUU